CUAUUUCGAAUAGUUCAAGGACAUUUUUUGUCCUUUUCCGAAAAAUAAAUAUUGCCACUAUUAGAACGAGAAAAUAGAUGCACUUCUAAGCUCCAAAAUUCAUGUGAAACUGACGACCCAAAAACAUAGCUCCAAAAUCCAUCUUCAUAAAACCAGCUGAAAAUCACCUUCAAACAGUCAUGUAAACUCCACCAGUAGCCAGUUUCCUUUAGUAGCUUCAGGGCAAAAUUCCAUCUAAAACUAGUUACUCGAAGCAGCAACACCGCUAGGAAACCACCAUACGUGAACCACUUUCUUUCAUAAACCAGACCGACAAGAGCAGAAACAAUAGUGAGCAUCAACUCGACUCGGGAUUAAUAACCCAUUUUCACUGCAAUCGUUCAUAAGCCAGCCAUAAUAGGGGAAACAAUUGAGUACUUCAGCGGUUACUUUAUUCGUGUUGAGGUUUUCUCUUUCCGUGACAAGGAUCCCGUUCGUCGCUCCGGUUCCUAUUGCUCUGGUUUUUGUUUAAAGUUCCGGGUCAAUGGUUGCUUCCAUAUUAGAAAGGAGUAUUGCACUUAAGGUGCAUUUCUCCUUGCUUACUCGUCCUUCUUUUCACCCAGUUUAAUUAACUCUUGUGAAUGCUCUGCUGAUUAAUUUAUUUCCUUGGUUGAGAUAAUUUUUGUACUUCUGCCAUAUUGAUUUCUUUCUUUGAGUUUGAAUAUUAUCCCAAAUUUGAUAUUCUCAUAUAAAAUUGAAAAACAUGAAUUAGAUAUUUGGAAUAUGCACUACUAAAUUAACUCCCGGUGAA
rnacentral:lncRNA from 1 species